UGGACGUCUGAAUCUAAUCGAGGUUGGUUUCUAUUUAUUGCUCCACGCUAGGCUGAAGCACGUGGUGCUGGGAGAAAGGCACCGGCGGCCGUCCCUCUGGGAGCAGAGACUGACGGAGGAUUCCGCUCUAUUUCAGACACACGUACGACAGAGUUGGGGAAAAAUACACAGGCUCGUGAUGAGCUAAAUGAAGCGGCGAGGUAAAGUGACUCAUCCGAUUGUGCGCUUUCCAAACGUGUGGCGCUUCGAGAGAGAGAGUAAAACUUUUUCUCUGAAAGAGAAACCGUCUUGGACUCGUCCCAAAUACCUGCAAGAGACAGAAGGAAGGGAAGGAGAGAGCUACAGGAGACAGCAGGAGACAGGAUGAAAGCGUGACAAAGACAGGAUAGAG